UCAAGGACGAACGCUGGCGGCGCGCCUAACACAUGCAAGUCGAACGAGGUAAUUUAAAUUAAUCCUUCGGGGAAGCGUUUGGAUUACCUAGUGGCGGACGGGUGAGUAACACGUGAGGAACCUGCCUUACAGAGGGGGAUACCGUCUGGAAACGGACGUUAAUACCGCAUGACAUAUACGGACCGCAUGAUCUGUAUAUCAAAGAUUUAUCGCUGUAAGAUGGCCUCGCGUCUGAUUAGAUAGUUGGUGAGGUAACGGCCCACCAAGUCGACGAUCAGUAGCCGGACUGAGAGGUUGAUCGGCCACAUUGGGACUGAGACACGGCCCAGACUCCUACGGGAGGCAGCAGUGGGGGAUAUUGCACAAUGGGCGAAAGCCUGAUGCAGCGACGCCGCGUGAGGGAAGACGGUUUUCGGAUUGUAAACCUCUGUCUUCGGGGACGAAAAUGACGGUACCCGAGGAGGAAGCCACGGCUAACUACGUG
rnacentral:rRNA from 1 species